UCAACUUUCGAUUGGUAGGAUAGAGGCCUACCAUGGUUUUAACGGGUAACGGGGAAUUAGGGUUCGAUUCCGGAGAGGGAGCCUGAGAAACGGCUACCACAUCCAAGGAAGGCAGCAGGCGCGCAAAUUACCCAAUCCCGACACGGGGAGGUAGUGACAAUAAAUAACAGUACGGGGCUCAUUUGGGUCUCGUAAUUGGAAUGAGUACAAUUUAAAUCCCUUAACGAGGAACAAUUGGAGGGCAAGUCUGGUGCCAGCAGCCGCGGUAAUUCCAGCUCCAAUAGCGUAUAUUAAAGUUGUUGCAGUUAAAAAGCUCGUAGUUGAACUUCGGGGUUUACCCAUUGGUCAGGCUUAAUUGUCUGCACUGGUGAGAUAAAUCUCUACCUUCUGAGGAACUUUCAUGCCAUUUAUUUGGUGUGAUGGGAAAUCAGGACUGUUACUUUGAAAAAAUUAGAGUGUUUAAAGCAGGCUAACGUCUGAAUACAUUAGCAUGGAAUAAUGAAAUAGGACGGACUGAUUCUAUUUCGUUGGUUUCUAGGAUCACCGUAAUGAUUAAUAGGGAUAGUUGGGGGCAUUAGUAUUCAAUUGUCAGAGGUGAAAUUCUUGGAUUUAUUGAAGACUAACUACUGCGAAAGCAUUUGCCAAGGAUGUUUUCAUUAAUCAAGAACGAAAGUUAGGGGAUCGAAGACGAUCAGAUACCGUCGUAGUCUUAACCAUAAACUAUGCCGACUAGGGAUCGGACGAAGUUAAUUUUAUAAUGACGCGUUCGGUACCUUACGGGAAACCAAAGUGUUUGGGUUC
rnacentral:rRNA from 1 species